GCAAUUAUACCGUGAAACUGCGAAUGGCUCAUUAAAUCAGUUAUCGUUUAUUUGAUAGUACCUUACUACUUGGAUAACCGUGGUAAUUCUAGAGCUAAUACAUGCUGAAAACCCCGACUUCGGGAGGGGUGUAUUUAUUAGAUAAAAAACCAAUGCCCUUCGGGGCUCUUUGGUGAUUCAUGAUAACUUUUCAGAUCGCAUGGCCUUGCGCCGGCGACGGUUCAUUCAAAUUUCUGCCCUAUCAACUUUCGAUGGUAAGGUAUUGGCUUACCAUGGUUUCAACGGGUAACGGGGAAUUAGGGUUCGAUUCCGGAGAGGGAGCCUGAGAAACGGCUACCACAUCCAAGGAAGGCAGCAGGCGCGCAAAUUACCCAAUCCCGACACGGGGAGGUAGUGACAAUAAAUACUGAUACAGGGCUCUUUUGGGUCUUGUAAUUGGAAUGAGUACAAUUUAAACCUCUUAACGAGGAACAAUUGGAGGGCAAGUCUGGUGCCAGCAGCCGCGGUAAUUCCAGCUCCAAUAGCGUAUAUUAAAGUUGUUGCAGUUAAAAAGCUCGUAGUUGAACCUUGGGCCUGGCUGGCAGGUCCGCCUCACCGCGUGUACUUGUCCGGCCGGGCCUUUCCUUCUGGAGAACCUCAUGCCCUUUACUGGGUGUGCUGGGGAACCAGGACUUUUACUUUGAAAAAAUUAGAGUGUUCAAAGCAGGCCUUUGCUCGAAUACGUUAGCAUGGAAUAAUAGAAUAGGACGUGCGGUCCUAUUUUGUUGGUUUCUAGGACCGCCGUAAUGAUUAAUAGGGACAGUCGGGGGCAUCAGUAUUCAAUUGUCAGAGGUGAAAUUCUUGGAUUUAUUGAAGACUAACUACUGCGAAAGCAUUUGCCAAGGAUGUUUUCAUUAAUCAGUGAACGAAAGUUAGGGGAUCGAAGACGAUCAGAUACCGUCGUAGUCUUAACCGUAAACUAUGCCGACUAGGGAUCGGGCGAUGUUUCUAUCUUGACUCGCUCGGCACCUUACGAGAAAUCAAAGUUUUUGGG
rnacentral:rRNA from 1 species